UGAGUACUGCUUCACUAUUCAGGGAAAUUGUCUAACAACAUGAUUAAUUGUGUGGACAUUUGUUUUUAUGUUUCCAAUCUCAGGUGCCAGAUGUGACAUCCAGAUGACCCAGUCUCCAUCUUCCCUGUCUGCAUCUGUAGGAGACAGAGUCACCAUCACUUGCAGGGCAAGUCAGGGCAUUAGCAAUUAUUUAAAUUGGUAUCAGCAGAAACCAGGAAAAGCUCCUAAGCACCUGAUCUAUGCUGCAUCCAGUUUGCAAAGUGGGGUCCCAUCAAGGUUCAGUGGCAGUGGAUCUCGGACAGUAUUCACUCUCACCAUCAGCAGCCUGCAGCCUGAAGAUUUUGCAACCUAUUACUGUCUACAGUAUAACAGUGCGCCUCCCACAGUGUUACACACCCGAACGUAAACCCCCAGGGAAGCAGAUGUAUGAGGCUGGGCUGCCCCAGCUUCUCCUCCUGAUGCCUCUAUGGGCUGAGAGUGUUCCUCAGAUGCAGCCACACUCUGAUGGUGUUGGUAGAUGGGGACAUGAAGUAACUUCGGCGCCCUAAUUCUUUUCUCUUUCUCAGCCCCAA